GACGAACGCUGGCGGCGUGCUUAACACAUGCAAGUCGAACGGAAAGGCCCUGCUUUUGUGGGGUGCUCGAGUGGCGAACGGGUGAGUAACACGUGAGUAACCUGCCCUUGACUUUGGGAUAACUUCAGGCAACUGGGGCUAAUACCGGAUAGGAGCUCCUGCUGCAUGGUGGGGGUUGGAAAGUUUCGGCGGUUGGGGAUGGACUCGCGGCUUAUCAGCUUGUUGGGGGGGUAGUGGCUUACCAAGGCUUUGACGGGUAGCCGGCCUGAGAGGGUGACCGGCCACAUUGCGACUGAGAUACGGCCCAGACUCCUACGGGAGGCAGCAGUGGGGAAUAUUGCACAAUGGGCGGAAGCCUGAUGCAGCAACGCCGCGUGCGGGAUGACGGCCUUCGGGUUGUAAACCGCUUUCGCCUGUGACGAAGCGUGAGUGACGGUAAUGGGUAAAGAAGCACCGGCUAACUACGUG
rnacentral:rRNA from 1 species